AGUGAACGCUGGCGGUAGGCCUAACACAUGCAAGUCGAACGGCAGCACAGUAAGAGCUUGCUCUUACGGGUGGCGAGUGGCGGACGGGUGAGGAAUACAUCGGAAUCUACUUUUUCGUGGGGGAUAACGUAGGGAAACUUACGCUAAUACCGCAUACGACCUACGGGUUAAAGCAGGGGAUCUUCGGACCUUUCGCGAUUGAAUGAGCCGAUGUCGGAUUAGCUAGUUGGCGGGGUAAAGGCCCACCAAGGCGACGAUCCGUAGCUGGUCUGAGAGGAUGAUCGGCCACACUGGAACUGAGACACGGUCCAGACUCCUACGGGAGGCAGCAGUGGGGAAUAUUGGACAAUGGGCGCAAGCCUGAUCCAGCCAUACCGCGUGGGUGAAGAAGGCCUUCGGGUUGUAAAGCCCUUUUGUUGGGAAAGAAAAGCAGCAGGUUAAUACCCCGCUGUUCUGACGGUACCCAAAGAAUAAGCACCGGCUAACUUCGUG
rnacentral:rRNA from 1 species